rnacentral:tRNA from 1 species
GCCUGGUUAGCUCAGCUGGUUAGAGCGUCGUACUAAUAAUUAUCUCGAGUAAUUAUCGGUAAUGCGAAGGUCAACAGUUCAAUCCUGUUACUGGGCA